ACAGUAAGGUGAAUUGAAUGAAGACUUUUUUCGUUUUGAAGUAUGAAUCUAAAUCAGUCAAAUCAGACUCAUCCUUUUAUUGAAAAUGAGGGAGGUAAUUUAGGAUCAUACACAGAGCUGAAAUAGCCUCUCACUGUUACCAAGUGCGACCAGAGGGCGCCGAACCUGCGUUGAGUUUUACUAAUUAGCUCCCCUGCCGCAGCUCGCCUGCCAAGUGUUUUCUUAAUCAGUUAAUUGGUUGCAUCCGGUGCGUUUCACUUAAGAGGGAACCGGACUCCCACACGCGGUAUGUUGUUUCACAGGUUAAAGACUUUUUGAAGUAAAGAGGAGCAUCUCAUCUGAACCUGAUGUCUAUCAUGGAUAUUUAACUGCCGUUCUGUGAGUAUCCCAAUUUAACCAUGAAGAUGAACUGCAAACUGUAAGUCAUAUGUUUCUCAUUACUCUUGGGCACAUUGUUGUAUUUUGGCUUCCUGGUGAGUUAACCCAGUAAGGAUGUCUUAUUGGUUCAUGGGUUACUUAGGUGUUUGGUUUAUGUUGGUUUUAAUGAUUUGUUAAAAUGGUUACAGGCUCCAAGUUAUUGUUGUAAGCUGGAUUAAUGGGUUGGGUUCUGAUGUCUUCAGUCUUCUUUCCAGCUACUCUCCUGAGCUCUGCAUCUUCAUCACACGAGUGUUGCUUUACUGAUGAGGCGGUGGUCUGAGUGAGCGGAGGUGCAUACUGGGAUACAGAGCUGUCUGAAUUCUACAGGUCUGUAGACAUGCCCCCUCAGGGGAAACCGAGUGUUUGAGAAACCGUCGUGACGUCAGUUACAUAGACUAGAAUGUUCCUUAAGAUGGAGACGGGGUUUCAGAAUGAGAAACGCCAGGGGGAGAUGAGGCGGCUCCUCAUCUCAACAACUAAAACACAACUUCAGUCUGACGCAGAGAACCGUGGAACACAUUCAACAGUCCCCUCCAGACAUCGUGACUCCCCAGGAACAGUUUCAUUUCCAAGAAGGUCUUAAUUGGGGCCAUUCCAAGAUGGAUCCUGCUCCUCAAGAGCCACCCCCCUCCACUGGGUGGUCUCUGAACAGAUGACCUCCUUCCUGUCCUCAGGCUGACUAAAGCUGCACCGUUUGCAUCUGUGAAGGCCCCUCAUUCAGGAAACCACUGGACUACAAACGCAUGACUUCAGAGACGUUGAAUCAACCUGGGACACAUUUUGGAGACGCCAAGCAUAAUCCAUCACCAAUGUGGGACGCCACUGAAAAAUGUUGGACAUAAUUUACUUCUCUGGAGACAUGGUUGUUCUUUUCUGGGUGCCCUGGCAGGAGAGCUGGGGUUGGAUGAUGGAACGUUAUUUGGUAUGAGGUUUUUACCCUGCAUGAUUGUUUGGCCUUUUAUGGCUCAGUGGUGUGUGUUUGGGUUUGACAUUAGAUGGAUGAUUUUUGAGCAUCACUAGGGUUCUACUGUGUGGGUCUCCCACUCACACCUGGCAUGGGGUUCUACGUGCGUGUCCUGGGUUCUAUGUGUGUCCGGCUUGCUUUGACAGUGAUAAUGUUCAUACGGAGGUCUGUGUGAUUUGCUUGGGAUAUUGGAAUGGUCAACUAAAUCAUACCUGAUGGACGGCCACACGUAUACUUAAGGGCCUCCAGUAGACAUGAAGAGCCCAAAGCGACGCUGCGGAGCGAUAUCCAACACACUUGGCAGGAAGGAGGGUAUCCAACUCAAGUGUAAAAGGAUGCAAACGGCGUGUUCAGAUCAGUGACUUCAAACUAGGACUACACCAAUCAGGAUCAAUGGAGGAUGGACACCUAAAGGAAUUCCAAAAGGAGAGUCUGACGUUGGAAAGGGACCUAAAUGGAUAUUCAAGAUAACCUUCAGACCUGUAAUGAGACGGCUCUUCCUACCUGGCUGGAUUGAUGGAGAGCCCUGUGGAUCUUGUCUUGCUCUCAGUUGCACGUCUUCUCAGGCUGAACUGUAAUUGUUUCGGACAGGACUAGCUGAACGAUUGGUUCCCUUAAAUCAGAACCAAUCUGGGAACUCCAACUAGUGCGCUCUUCGAGCUGAAGUUGUGCUCUUCGAGCUGAAGUUGUGCUCUUCGUGCUGAAGUUGUGCUCUUCAGCUGAGGAGGAAAGGAAACCUUCACUGGGGCUUCAAGGUGUAAAGAGGAGGAUGUUUCAAAGUGUUCCAUGGUACUCUGAUGAAGACCGUUGUUGUGUUCCACUGGCUGAGAGGAAGAACCCUCACAUCUUCCUCUUGGCCUUUCUCCUCUGGGAAUCCUGGCGCCAUCUUGAAGGAUAUUCCAGCUCAUGUAACUGAUGUCACGACAGAUUCUCAAACACUUGGUUUCUCCUGAGGGGCGUGUCUGUAGAACUGAAGACUUCAGAAAGCAUUGUAUCCCAGCAUGCAUCUCUGCUCACUCAGACCACACCCCCAUGAGUAGGAUGUAACACUCUAGUGAUGGAGUUGUAGAGUUUUAUAAGUAACGAGGGAGUAGACAAAGGUGAUUAGAACACAAUGUCAUGUCAAGUCUGUAAAUAAUUAAACCAUGUAGAUGGUUGGAUAGUUCAGGAAUUGGGCUUCUUUUUAUUAUGGGUGGUCCUUUAAAUCAGAUGCCCACUUCUCACUGGGCCUGUACAUGUGUUGGCUGGCUAGCAUGAUUUGCUGUUGGUGUUGAGGCGGUCAGGGUGACGUUGCAGGGCUAUGAUCGGCUCUCUGUGAGCUCAACGUUUAGUUUUGCUCUGUAUGGUUUGUACCCUGAAUAAUCUAGAUAAUUGUAAAAUGUAGACAUGGUUUUGUAUUGAAUGAUUUUAGGUUUAAAGUUGUUGUGGUCAUGGUAGUUUGGUUCUUCGUACGGUUUUGAGUGAUAUAACUUGUACACAUUGGGUGCAUAAUAAUGUAAAGGUACACUGAAUAGUAGUAAUGACCAACAGCAACAAACUGAUCUCCUCAAGGUAAGUCUGUUGGCUGUAUUUUAAUGAAGAACAUCGCUGGACUUCAGGAUCUUCCUUCGUUCAGCUCAAGGUGAGGCGCUGGUUCUGUUUUUUCUUUGGUUGGUUCCGGCCGGAAUGUUCGGAUUCCAGUCGGACGGUUUGUGCUUCCCGCCGUGGAAGGUUCUGAGUGCGGUCACUUGAUUUAGUUCCGAUGGUUAGCAUAGAACGUUGUAGUCUUGACAACCAUAAGAAACCACCUGGCAGUUAGUUGGAUUGUAUUUGCGUAACCUCGAGCCGUUGCCAACGGAAACUAUUUUUCAGUAGUUUCCAUUGGGAAUUGUUCCCUUAUCUUAAGCAACUUAAGUUUGAUAUUAAAUGCAUACUGACACGUACGUCGCACAAUAUGUUGAUAAUUUCCGAUGGUUGCGCCGUACUUUUAACCACGAUGACGUGACGGGACUCUCGCUGCGUACAAAACUGCGUUCUACUUGCGGGCCCUUUUUUCACAUCAGUGACGGCUGAAAAUCAUUUCAAGGUGGCAUUUCAACGGAACCCAGCACCUGAAUAUGGCUGAGUUAAGUAUAUUUGAUUUAAUAUCGAUACUGCUUAGUGUUCAUUACUUCAGCUUUUGUACGUUCUAAAUAUCUGCUGUCAUUAAUUGCAACAGAAGUUAAACCCUACCAAAUGGAAUGACGUUAAACGACUUGGGUGCAGAGUUACCAACUGGAUAAUAUCAAAGCUAAAAUAAUGGCCGUCCUUCCCACAUGUUACAGUAGAAGAUACUCUAGAACGAUACAAGGUUAAAAAGGUAACGUGUAUUUUGUCCCAAGGUGUCCGCCUCCUCACCCAGAGCAAGACCUCCACCUCCUCACCCAGAGCCAGACCUCCACCUCCUGCCAGAAGUCCUCCAGAACAGCUGAAAGGUGAGGCUGGGGACUGGAGGCUUGUGGUGCCAGGAGGGACCUGAGGCUGGAGACCAGGGGCCUGCAGCACCGGACCAGAGGGUAACCAUCACCAAGCUCAUCUGAAACACUAAAAUCCACGACCAGGAAUCUAUUUCUGGGGGAGCCGUGCUGAAGGAGCUGCUGGAGGAGUCGUGCUGAGGGCCUGCCUGGUGGAGGAGCUGGUGGAGGAGUCGUGCUGAGGGCCUGCCUGCUGGAGGAGCUGGUGGAGGAGUCGUGCUGAGGGCCUGCCUGGUGGAGGAGCUGGUGGAGGCCCUGCCUGGUGAAGGACGUCUGUCGUGGGACCAGGAAUCUGUCUGAGGAGAGCUGCUGGAGGACGACUAGGAAUCGACCAACAAGGAUUCCUCAACGUGUUUCUGGAGCGGAGGCAAGCUGGUAGGGGAGCCGUGAAUCUGGAGGAUGACCAUCACUCUACCAACAAGGAUUACGUUGGGGCCAGACUCGCGCUGUUUGUUCCAGACCAGGACUCGGGCUGUGGUGAGCUGAUGGAGGAGCCAAGACUCUGGAGGACGACAUCACUCUACCAACCAGGAUCCUCACCAGGAAUCUGGAGGACUGAUGGAGAAGCCGUACAUCUGGAAGGCAAAUCCUGAGGACAACCAGGACUCUACCAUCAAGGAUUCCUCACACGCCUGAGCUGAACCUCACCUGAUCCUGUUUGGUCGGGGGUAGACACACCUGAGCUGAACCCGCCCUGAUCCUGACAUCCUGCUGGUCCCGUCUCCUCAGUUCAUCUGCGCCUCGUCCUCCAGAAGACCUGCUGAGCUCAGCAGUCUGAGGCUGAUGGAUCAAUGACCUCCAGUGGGAGUGAUCUUCUUGACCCCACAUAACGUGUUUCUGGAGCGGAGGCGAGCUGGUAGGGGAGCCGUGAAUCUGGAGGAUGACCAUCACUCUACCAACAAGGAUUACGUUGGGGCCAGACUCACGCUGUUUGUUCCAGACCAGGACUUGGGCUGUGGUGAGCUGAUGGAGGAGCCAAGACUCUGGAGGACGACAUCACUCUAUCAACCAGGAUCCUCACCAGGAAUCUGGAGGACUGAUGGAGAACCGUACAUCUGGAAGGCAAAUCCUGAGGACGACCAGGACUCUACCAUCAAGGAUUCCUCACACGCCUGAGCUGAACCUCACCUGAUCCUGUUUGGUCGGGGGUAGAUACACCUGAGCUGAACCCACCCUGAUCCUGACAUCCUGCUGGUCCCGUCUCCUCAGUUCAUCUGCGCCUCGUCCUCCAGAAGACCUGCUGAGCUCAGCAGUCUGAGGCUGAUGGAUCAAUGACCUCCAGUGGGAGUGAUCUUCUUGACCCCACAUGUAACCGUGUGCUUCCACACGGCUUUCCCUCACGUCUGUCACUAACCUCACUACUUCACUACUCUGUACUGCUUCCUCUUCUUCUUCCUUCUCUGUUGUUCGAACCUUUACACUGAAGGCGCGUCUUCCUGCCCUCAGAGGGUUCAGCGUUAGGGUUGAGAGUCAGGGUUUAGAGUCAGGGACAGAGCUGGUCAGGGAGGACUGCUUUUACACAAACCUCUUCACUUCCUUUCGGAAUGGUGGUGACAUUUUGAAAAGAUUCAUUUGGGAAAAUGUUUUCCUCUGCUUUCCUUUACAAAAUUGUAAUGAACUUCUGUCAAGUGUUUUGUUUAUAUAUUAAAA